GGCAGGGAUAAGUGCUGAAAGCAUCUAAGCACGAAGCCCCCUUCAAGAUGAGGUUUCCCACUACGCAAGUAGGUAAGAUCCCAUGMAGACUACAUGUAGAUAGGCCGGGGGUGUAAGCGCAGCAAUGUGUUCAGCCGACCGGUACUAAUAGAUCGAGGUCUUGACCUAAUUUG
rnacentral:rRNA from 1 species